rnacentral:rRNA from 1 species
AACGCUAGCUACAGGCUUAACACAUGCAAGUCGAGGGGAAACGAUAUUGGAAGCUUGCUUCCGAUAGGCGUCGACCGGCGCACGGGUGAGUAACGCGUAUCCAACCUGCCCACCACUUGGGGAUAACCUUGCGAAAGUAAGACUAAUACCCAAUGAUAUCUCUAGAAGACAUCUGAAAGAGAUUAAAGAUUUAUCGGUGAUGGAUGGGGAUGCGUCUGAUUAGCUUGUUGGCGGGGUAACGGCCCACCAAGGCGACGAUCAGUAGGGGUUCUGAGAGGAAGGUCCCCCACAUUGGAACUGAGACACGGUCCAAACUCCUACGGGAGGCAGCAGUGAGGAAUAUUGGUCAAUGGACGAGAGUCUGAACCAGCCAAGUAGCGUGCAGGAAGACGGCCCUAUGGGUUGUAAACUGCUUUUAUAAGGGAAUAAAGUGAGUCUCGUGAGACUUUUUGCAUGUACCUUAUGAAUAAGGACCGGCUAAUUCCGUGCCAGCAGCCGCGGUAAUACGGAAGGUCCGGGCGUUAUCCGGAUUUAUUGGGUUUAAAGGGAGCGUAGGACGGAGAUUAAGCGUGUUGUGAAAUGUAGACGCUCAACGUCUGCACUGCAGCGCGAACUGGUUUCCUUGAGUACGCACAAAGUGGGCGGAAUUCGUGGUGUAGCGGUGAAAUGCUUAGAUAUCACGAAGAACUCCGAUUG